rnacentral:rRNA from 1 species
UACAGAGGUCCCGAGCGUUGUUCGGAUUUAUUGGGCGUAAAGGGUGCGUAGGCGGCGGAGUAAGUUGGGUGUGAAAUCCCGGGGCUUAACCUCGGAAUUGCAUUCAAUACUGCUUCGCUAGAGUACUGGAGAGGAGGCUGGAAUUUACGGUGUAGCAGUGAAAUGCGUAGAUAUCGUAAGGAAGGCCGGUGGCGAAAGCGAGCCUCUGGACAGUUACUGACGCUGAUGCACGAAGGCCAGGGGAGCAAACGGG